GAUAAAGAGGUAGAAAAUAAGUAUAUUACUCUAAAGACUUCAAGUUUAAGGUCCUUAACCAAUGAGCAAAGUGAUUGUGAAAUAAGUGAUGAUGAGAAUUCUGAUGAUGGAGAAAUGGGGUUGUUCGUCAAAAGGUACAAUAGGUACAUAACAAAAAAUUGAGUCAAGCACUCCGACAAGAACCUAAUCAACUUUAGAAGGCUAUAAAACUCCUCAAAGGAAGAUGAGAAUAAAAAGGGUAAACAUAUAAGUUCUUGCUACAAUUUUGAAAAGUCGGACAUUAUAG
rnacentral:lncRNA from 1 species